rnacentral:rRNA from 1 species
UACGGAGGGUGCAAGCGUUACUCGGAAUUACUGGGCGUAAAGCGUGCGUAGGUGGUUCGUUAAGUCUGCCGUGAAAGCCCCGGGCUCAACCUGGGAAUGGCGGUGGAUACUGGCGGACUAGAGUGCGGUAGAGGGUGGUGGAAUUCCCGGUGUAGCAGUGAAAUGCGUAGAGAUCGGGAGGAACAUCUGUGGCGAAGGCGGCCACCUGGACCAGCACUGACACUGAGGCACGAAAGCGUGGGGAGCAAACAGG